AGAGUUUGAUCCUGGCUCAGAUUGAACGCUGGCGGCAGGCCUAACACAUGCAAGUCGAGCGGUAGAGAGAAGCUUGCUUCUCUUGAGAGCGGCGGACGGGUGAGUAAUGCCUAGGAAUCUGCCUGGUAGUGGGGGAUAACGUUCGGAAGCGGACGCUAAUACCGCAUACGUCCUACGGGAGAAAGCAGGGGACCUUCGGGCCUUGCGCUAUCAGAUGAGCCUAGGUCGGAUUAGCUAGUUGGUGGGGUAAUGGCUCACCAAGGCGACGAUCCGUAACUGGUCUGAGAGGAUGAUCAGUCACACUGGAACUGAGACACGGUCCAGACUCCUACGGGAGGCAGCAGUGGGGAAUAUUGGACAAUGGGCGAAAGCCUGAUCCAGCCAUGCCGCGUGUGUGAAGAAGGUCUUCGGAUUGUAAAGCACUUUAAGUUGGGAGGAAGG
rnacentral:rRNA from 1 species